rnacentral:misc_RNA from 1 species
UGCAUAGUGUACAAGAACCCAACUCCCAGAACUACGAUUUUGAAUCAGAAGAGAGAUAUCUCUAUUCACUCUUUCAAUAACGAGACCGAGUCUUCCAUCUUCAAACUAGACCAUGUUUGUAAGUGCAGAAUAUGUGCCAAAUACAGCUGAAAUCAGUCCCACCACUAUAAUGAAACUGCAAGCUGCAAGCUGAAAUCGCGUGAUUUGAUCUUUACUUAGUUGGAUGUAGCAUACACAAGGAAGGAUUAA